UUCAUUACAAAUGAACGACACUGUACUUGCAGUCAACCUCUUCGAUCACUUUCACUACUACAAACCCAGAACCUCAACGAUUAAAACUCAAUGGCGACCAUCAGCAACUAAAUCAAUGGCGACUUUAAGCCCCAGGUUCUUGUUCAGCAAGGGCGUCGUUUCACAGCCCGCCAACACUCCACCGGUUACAAGCUUCCUCGAAACGCAUCCAGGAGCGUACACGACGUCUCGCACUCACAAAGACGCGUCGUUCGUGCUGUUCUGGGAACGACAGUUGAAGAGACUGGUGGACUCAGUAGCAAUUCUAUACAAUUCGAAUCCUCAGCUUCUGUUCGGACCCAACAAAACGACGUCGCUUUCGUUGCCGUCGCUCUCCUCCAACUCCCCUUUGCUCCAGUCAGAGGUUCGCGAGCUCGUGAAUCGUUCGAUGAAACGAGUGUUGCCGAUUGCUUUGAAUGAGAGGAGUGAGGGAGAAGAACUGUCAAUUACAGCUCUGGUCAGUGGCAAUUUGGAGAAAUUGAGUGAGAAUGAGAGUGAGGGCUUGGACCAUGAAAGAUUUGGCAAUGGGGUUUUUGAUGUGAGUAUUUACAUUGGGACUUAUGUGCCAACUGUGUUUGGUAUCGAAGGAAACGGUGCGCAUUUGGCUGUGGUGGGUCGUGGGAGAGACGAUGCUUCUGCUAAGUAUUCGGAUUGGGUGAGGAUUAGGAAGUCUUUGGAGAGGUUGAGGCCUCCCAAUGGGACCGAGCUCUUGUUGUCUAAUGACGGUGACCGGAUUCUUGAGGGGACGGUCUCAAACUUCUUUGUCGUCUGCCGGAAGGAUAACGAUGAAGCUAAGGGGCAAAGUGUGCACUGUUUUGAAGUACAGACAGCUCCUAUUAUUGAUCAUGUCCUUCCAGGAAUUAUACGCCAAUUGGUCAUUGAAGUAUGCUUGAGCAAGGGAAUCCCCUUUCGAGAAGUUGCACCAUCGUGGUCAGAGAGUGAAUUUUGGGCAGAGGCGUUCAUUACAAGUAGCUUGAGACUUCUGCAGCACGCGGAGAGAAUUAGUUUUCCAAGUUCAUGGGAAUCACUAAAUUCUAAAUCUUGGGAGGAGAUCUCAUGGAAAGACAAACAUUUUGAGGAGGGUCCUGGGAUGGUCACUACAAUAAUCCAGAAAGAGGUCAUGGAGAAAGCAGCUUCAGAAGGGUACUUUCUCAGUUAGUUUGUAUAAAAGGUGGAGGUAUCUUCUUUCUUGCAUAGGAUGUUAAUACUUGUGUCUAUCAUCUUGUGCCUCCAUCCGAUACUGGGACGUGUAACCAAGCUGGACUUUAUGUGAUUUGGCCAUUACGCUCCCAAUCAUUCUGUUGCUCCAGUUCAAGCGAACCAAGGAUCAUAAAAUAAAUGGAUGUACUCUGUUUCGUAUGUAAACCAUCCUAGGUUCUUAUAUGAUUAUUAAGCCUCUUGUCAUACAUAGAAAUUAGUUUGAUCUCUUUGGGUACCAUUUACACAUAUGAUGCAAAAUAAUUCUUGUAAUUGUACCCUCUAUCAUCAAAUAUGGUUUUGUUCAAGCAGAAGCAGCCCUUGCAACUGGACUGGAAUUCAAUGCAAUGAAGCUGGCAGCAUUGUUGAAAUAAAUUUGGUGGAUUCUGGCCUUGAUGGAACACUCAACAGGUUUGACUUCUCUGCCUUUCCUAAUCUCUCUUCUCUCAAUGUCAAUUACAACAGUCUUAUAAUAAAUGCAUUUUUUUUCAUUUUUCUGUAAUCUGCUCUGUAAAAAGAAAUGAACGGCAGUUGUUUGUUGUAUUGUAUAAGAGGUUUGCA